rnacentral:rRNA from 1 species
AGAGUUUGAUCAUGGCUCAGAUUGAACGCUGGCGGCAUGCUUUACACAUGCAAGUCGAGCGGCAGCGCGGGGGCAACCCUGGCGGCGAGCGGCGAACGGGUGAGGAAUACAUCGGAACGUACCCCGGAGUGGGGGAUAACCCAGCGAAAGUUGGGCUAAUACCGCAUAUGCUCUGAGGAGGAAAGUGGGGGGAUUCGCAAGAACCUCACGCUCUGGGAGCGGCCGAUGUCCGAUUAGCUUGUUGGUGGGGUAAUGGCCUACCAAGGCGACGAUCGGUAGCUGGUCUGAGAGGAUGAUCAGCCACACUGGGACUGAGACACGGCCCAGACUCCUACGGGAGGCAGCAGUGGGGAAUUUUGGACAAUGGGGGCAACCCUGAUCCAGCCAUGCCGCGUGCGGGAAGAAGGCCUUCGGGUUGUAAACCGCUUUUGGUCGGGAAGAAAAGGUUAUCCCUAAUAAGGAUGACUCUUGACGGUACCGGCAGAAUAAGCACCGGCUAACUACGUGCCAGCAGCCGCGGUAAUACGUAGGGUGCGAGCGUUAAUCGGAAUUACUGGGCGUAAAGCGUGCGCAGGCGGUUUGUUAAGUCUGAUGUGAAAGCCCCGGGCUCAACCUGGGAACUGCAUUGGAAACUGGCAAGCUCGAGUAUGGCAGAGGGGGGUGGAAUUCCGCGUGUAGCAGUGAAAUGCGUAGAGAUGCGGAGGAACACCGAUGGCGAAGGCAGCCCCCUGGGCCAAUACUGACGCUCAGGCACGAAAGCGUGGGGAGCAAACAGGAUUAGAUACCCCCGUAGUCC